UUCCGCCGGCGACCGGCGCACGGGUGCGCACCGCGUAUGGAACCUGCCCUCUACAGGGGAAUAGCCCAGGGAAACUUGGAUUAAUGCCCCGUAGUACCAUUUAACGGCAUCGUUUGAUGGUUAAAGCCUUCGGGCGGUAGAGGAUGGCCAUGCGUCCCAUUAGUUAGUUGGUAGGGUAACGGCCUACCAAGACCGCGAUGGGUAGGGGCCCUGAGAGGGGGAUCCCCCACACUGGUACUGAGACACGGACCAGACUCCUACGGGAGGCAGCAGUGAGGAAUAUUGGACAAUGGGCGAGGGCCUGAUCCAGCCAUGCCGCGUGCAGGAAGAAUGCCCUAUGGGUAGUAAACUGCUUUUAUACGGGAAGAAAAAGGGGCACGUGUGCCCUGUUGACGGUACCGUAAGAAUAAGGACCGGCUAACUCCGUGCCAGCAGCCGCGGUAAUACGGAGGGUCCGAGCGUUAUCCGGAAUUAUUGGGUUUAAAGGGUCCGUAGGCGGGCCGGUAAGUCAGGGGUGAAAGUCUGUAGCUCAACUAUAGAACUGCCUUUGAUACUGCCGGUCUUGAGUCAUGGUGAAGUUGGCGGAAUAUGUGGUGUAGCGGUGAAAUGCAUAGAUAUCACAUAGAACACCGAUUGCGAAGGCAGCUGACUAACCAUGUACUGACGCUGAUGGACGAAAGCGUGGGGAGCGAACAGGAUUAGAUACCCUGGUAGUCCACGCCGUAAACGAUGGAUACUAGCUGUCCGGGUCCUUGAGACCUGGGCGGCCAAGCGAAAGUGAUAAGUAUCCCACCUGGGGAGUACGUUCG
rnacentral:rRNA from 1 species